UAAAAUUAUUUAAAAGAUGUUAAACGAUAAGACUUGUACUCCAGAAUGUCAGUUUAAAGAGCUCCUUUAAUAUUGAAAGUCUGAGAAAUUUAAGGCUGAAAUUGAGGAAAUUUAAAACCAAAUGAGCACAAAUGGUCAGUUUGUUGGUGUUUUCACAGUCGUAAUGGGUCCUGAACAUCUGGGACGUCUAAGGCAACAUGAAGUGGGGUUACGAAGAGAACUAUAAAAAAGAACGUUGGCAAUUCUGAGGCAACUUUGAAUAUGAUGUAAUGCAACAACUGAAGGAAAGGAUACACAAAAUAGAGAAACAAAUGGAAGAACAAAGGAGAACUAUGCCACAAAGAAUUUAUCACAUAUGUAGUUUCACAACUAUAGCAUGUACGAUUAAUUGAUGCUAACUUACUAGCAGCAAUGUCCGUUCGUUUCCCAAGAGAAGCUACUUCUGCUCAAAUACUUGAGUAAGGUUAGUGUCGCUUAUUAUUCCGAUUGUGGACUUGUCUGUUAUUUAUUAUGAUUGUGGCCUUAUCGGUCAUUUGGUUAGCUGAGUAUUUUCUAGGAUCAACAUCGUUGGCUAUGAGUUAUUAAGUAUCAUCUAUGAACAUUCUAUACCACUCUUUCAGGCGAUCUUUCCUUUUUUUUCUCGUUGUAGCAUUUCAAUGUCUGUUGGAAUGUUGUAACAUUGAUGUAAUAAGGGACUAUUGAGUACGGCCUUGUCGAUUUUGUUAUUUCCUAUUUCAACUUAUCGUGGCCUUGUUGGUCAUUUGGUUA